AAAUGAAUUGACGGGGCCGCACAAGCGGAGGACAUGUGGUUAAUUCGAUGAUACGCGAGGAACCUUACCUGGGCUUAAAUGUAGAGUGCAUUUUUAGAGAUAGAAAUUCCCUUCGGGGCUUUCUGCAAGGUGCUGCAUGGUUGUCGUCAGCUCGUGCCGUGAGGUGUCGGGUUAAGUCCCAUAACGAGCGCAACCCUUAUCGUUAGUUGCCAGCUGGUAAAGCAGGGGACUCUAGCGAAACUGCCACCGUAAGGUGAGAGGAAGGUGGGAUGACGUCAAAUCAGCACGGCCCUUAUGUCCAGGGCUACACACGUGUUACAAUGGCCGGCACAGAGGGCAGCUACCUGGUGACAGGAUGCUAAUCUCGAAAACCGGUCUCAGUUCGGAUCGAAGUCUGCAACUCGACUUCGUGAAGCUGGAUUCGCUAGUAAUCGCGCACUCAGCCAUGGCGCGGUCGAAUACGUUCCCGGGCCUU
rnacentral:rRNA from 1 species